AUUAACUUAUUUUAUUAGAAUAUUUUUUUUCCAAAUUAAAGGUAAUGUUAAAA
rnacentral:tRNA from 2 species